rnacentral:rRNA from 1 species
GACGAACGCUGGCGGCGUGCUUAACACAUGCAAGUCGAACGGUAAGGCCCUUCGGGGUACACGAGUGGCGAACGGGUGAGUAACACGUGGGUGAUCUGCCCUGCACUUCGGGCUAAGCCUGGGAAACUGGGUCUAAUACCGGAUAGGACCCUGGGAUGCAUGUCCUGGGGUGGACAGCUUUUGCGGUGUGGGAUGGGCCCGCGGCCUAUCAGCUUGUUGGUGGGGUGAUGGCCUACCAAGGCGACGACGGGUAGCCGGACUGAGAGGGUGACCGGCAACACUGGGACUGAGAUACGGCCCAGACUCCUACGGGAGGCAGCAGUGGGGAAUAUUGCACAAUGGGCGCAAGCCUGAUGCAGCGACGCCGCGUGAGGGAUGACGGCCUUCGGGUUGUAAACCUCUUUCAGCACCGACGAAGCGCAAGUGACGGUAGGUGCAGAAGAAGGACCGACCAACUACGUGCCAGCAGCCGCCGUAA